rnacentral:rRNA from 1 species
UACGAAGGGGGCUAGCGUUGCUCGGAAUUACUGGGCGCAAAGGGCGCGUAGGCGGAUAGUUUAGUCAGAGGUGAAAGCCCAGGGCUCAACCUUGGAACUGCCUUUGAUACUGGCUAUCUUGAGUUCGGGAGAGGUGAGUGGAAUGCCGAGUGUAGAGGUGAAAUUCGUAGAUAUUCGGCGGAACACCAGUGGCGAAGGCGACUCACUGGCCCGAUACUGACGCUGAGGCGCGAAAGCGUGGGGAGCAAACAGG